rnacentral:rRNA from 1 species
GCAGUGGGGAAUAUUGGACAAUGGGCGAAAGCCUGAUCCAGCCAUGCCGCGUGUGUGAAGAAGGUCUUCGGAUUGUAAAGCACUUUAAGUUGGGAGGAAGGGCAAUCAGCAAAUACCUGGUUGUUUUGACGUUACCGACAGAAUAAGCACCGGCUAACUCUGUGCCAGCAGCCGCGGUAAUACAGAGGGUGCAAGCGUUAAUCGGAAUUACUGGGCGUAAAGCGCGCGUAGGUGGUUUGUUAAGUUGAAUGUGAAAUCCCCGGGCUCAACCUGGGAACUGCAUCCAAAACUGGCAAGCUAGAGUAGGGCAGAGGGUGGUGGAAUUUCCUGUGUAGCGGUGAAAUGCGUAGAUAUAGGAAGGAACACCAGUGGCGAAGGCGACCACCUGGGCUCAUACUGACACUGAGGUGCGAAAGCGUGGGGAGCAAACAGGAUUAGA